rnacentral:rRNA from 1 species
UACGUAGGGCGCAAGCGUUGUCCGGAAUUAUUGGGCGUAAAGAGCUCGUAGGUGGCGUGUCGCGUCUGCCGUGAAAACUCACAGCUUAACUGUGGGCGUGCGGGCGAUACGGGCAGACUGGAGUACUGCAGGGGAGACUGGAAUUCCUGGUGUAGCGGUGGAAUGCGCAGAUAUCAGGAGGAACACCGGUGGCGAAGGCGGGUCUCUGGGCAGUAACUGACGCUGAGGAGCGAAAGCGUGGGGAGCGAACAGG